UCAGCUCCUCCGUUAGCAUUUUGUUAAAUUAUAUGCAAAAAACUUCAUAUACUCCACUUGGGUUUAUCGAAUAUUCACUUUAAUACAUUUUAGUUUUAACUUUGUCCCUGAUUUAAUGAAAAAGAAUUAGUAGAGAGGAUAAUAAAACGAGAAAAAUGAAACCACAGAGUGCUAAAUUAAUUAAUACACUUUAAACCAUAGGGUACUAAAAUAAAAAAAAAGUGUGAAAUCACAAGAGUGGUAUUUAAAAAUUUUCCUUUUUUAAAAAAUAGUGCAACAUCACAUCGUUCAUCAAAUAUUCCUCUCUCACUACCGCUACAACCUCACCACCGCAGCCAUACUCGCUAACCUACUUCGAUAGUAUCCUCAAUAAGCAACUAUCUCCUUCCUUUUCUGCUACCUUUGUCUUCGUCUUUGACGAUGCUCCAAGCGAUACCACCAUCAUCUCUACCAUAGCGACCUCGCCGAAGAACAUUGAGAACGACCACAGUGAUGAGCAAGUCAAACUUUGUCGUCAUUCUCUCGCUCAUGGGCGAGGUACAAGAGGAGGGCGGUGGCAACAAGAGGGCGGUAGAGGAGUGAGAGGAAGCAAGAGGAGAAAGAGAGUAAGGAGAAAAAGAAUAGGAGUAUCUUGGUUAGGUUUUAAAAAUAUCGGUUCGAAUAUGUAAAAGUUAAAAAAAAAUAGCUAGUUUUUGUAAAAACGUAAAACUAGUAGGAUUUUUAUGCAAAAUGGUUAAAAAAA
rnacentral:lncRNA from 1 species